CUGAGUAGCGUCUGCCUGUGCGCGUGCCAGGCUCUGACGUGCCGACGCUGCCGUCGCCGCGGCGCAUCGGCAGGCGCGAGCCCGUCCUGCCGCUGUAACACGCCGCGAUCGAACGCAGCCCGGCCUGCGCGCGAUUCGCGCACGCGCUAAGUAGUAUUAUGGCAGGGGCCGGCCGGCCGCUGGCGGCGCAAGGCCGCCACCCGCGCGCUUGCGGCGUGGCGGCCCGCUUAGCCUGCCGCGAAUUCGGCUGGUCUCCUGCCCAGCGCUACGUAAUGACUCUCUCUUCACGUGCUGCGGCUGCCUGCGCAAGCUGCCUGCGCCGGGCACGGCGCGCUGCCGUGGGCGAUCCCCGCGGCCGCACUGUAGCUCCGCGCGCGGGCGCGCGGCAGCCAACAGCUACUUAGAGAGGCAAGCAAGUAAGCUCAAAGCGUCCAAA
rnacentral:rRNA from 1 species